rnacentral:rRNA from 1 species
GACGAACGCUGGCGGCGUGCUUAACACAUGCAAGUCGAACGGUAAGGCCCUUCGGGGUACACGAGUGGCGAACGGGUGAGUAACACGUGGGUGAUCUGCCCUGCACUUUGGGAUAAGCCUGGGAAACUGGGUCUAAUACCGAAUAUGACCAUGGACUUCACGGUUUGUGGUGGAAAGCUUUUGCGGUGUGGGGAUGGGCCCGCGGCCUAUCAGCUUGUUGGUGGGGUAAUGGCCUACCAAGGCGACGACGGGUAGCCGGCCUGAGAGGGUGACCGGCCACACUGGGACUGAGAUACGGCCCAGACUCUACGGGAGGCAGCAGUGGGGAAUAUUGCACAAUGGGCGCAAGCCUGAUGCAGCGACGCCGC